CAGCGCCUACGACAACUGCACCUCUGCCAGCGACUGCCCGGCGACGACUACCUGCCGGUGUAACGGCGACUACGGCUACCAGUGCUUGUGUGACCCGGGUUACGUGGUCUCCAAGUCGGGACAUGAAUGCAUCAUCGCCUCGAGGCUGGGGGAGGCGUGCAACGCCAGCACCAAGUGCGUGAACACCCUCACCUACUGCAACCCAGACACCAACGUCUGUGAGUGUCAGGUGUACCACCGACUCUCAGCCAAUGAGGACGCCUGUGUCUUCCAGGGCACGCUAGCCAAUGGGGAAAAGUGUAACACAAGCGCUGUGUGCUUCGACGUCUUGGGGGUGUGCAACAGCAGCAACCUUUGUGGAUGUCGCGACGGCUUCAGACUCAAGGAUGAGGCCGAGUUUUGGGCUGAGCCUGACAGUAUCGUCGGCUGUACUGUGGAGACGUUUGUGCUCGAAAACCCGACACUUUGCCCGGUAACAACAACUCAGUC